rnacentral:rRNA from 1 species
ACGCCAGACUCCUACGGGAGGCAGCAGUGAGGAAUAUUGGUCAAUGGGCGAGAGCCUGAACCAGCCAAGUCGCGUGAGGGAGUACUGCCCUAUGGGUUGUAAACCUCUUUUGUCGGGGAGCAAAAGCCGGACGUGUCCGGCUGUGAGAGUACCCGAAGAAAAAGCAUCGGCUAACUCCGUGCCAGCAGCCACGGUAAUACGGAGGAUGCGAGCGUUAUCCGGAUUUAUUGGGUUUAAAGGGUGCGCAGGCGGAUUUUUAAGUCAGCGGUCAAAUCGGGGGGCUCAACCCCAUCCAGCCGUUGAAACUGGGGAUCUAGAGUGUGCGAGAGGUAUGCGGAAUGCGUGGUGUAGCGGUGAAAUGCGCAGAUAUUGGGAAGAACACCGGCGGCGAAGGCGGCCUUCUGGGCCACGACUGACGCUGAGGCGCGAAAGCUAGGGGAGCGAACAGGAUUAGAUACCCUCGUAAA